AUUUUCUGCCACCGAAUACAUUAGCAUGGGAUAAUGGAAUAGGACCCUGUCCUCCUAUUUUCAGUUGGUUUUGGCAGCGCGAGGACUAGGGUAAUGAUUAAUAGGGAUAGUUGGGGGCAUUAAUAUUUAAUUGUCAGAGGUGAAAUUCUUGGAUUUAUGAAAGAUUAACUUCUGCGAAAGCAUCUGCCAAGGAUGUUUUCAUUAAUCAAGAACGAAAGUUAGGGGAUCGAAGACGAUCAGAUACCGUCGUAGUCUUAACCAUAAACGAUGCCGACCAGCGAUUAGGAGACGUUGAAUACAAAACACCACCAUCGGCGCGGUCGUCCUUGGCGUGUCUCGGCUUCACGGCCGGGGCGCGCGAGGGCGGUUUAGCCCGGUGGCACCGGUGAAUGACUCCCCUAGC
rnacentral:rRNA from 1 species